GCCAGGCUGCUGUAAAAGCACAAGCCAAUGUGCUUUCCUCUGAAGAGGGGUUAGCAGCGAGCAGCGCCAUGCCGCAGGGCAGGGGUGCUGCAGAAAAGGCCGGUAAAUAUGCCGGUAAA
rnacentral:sRNA from 12 species